UACAGAGGGUGCGAGCGUUAAUCGGAAUUACUGGGCGUAAAGCGCACGUAGUCGGCUUUGCAAGUCGGGUGUGAAAUCCCCGGGCUCAACCUGGGAACUGCAUCCGAGACUGCAUUGCUAGAGUAUGGGAGAGGGAAGCGGAAUUUCUGGUGUAGCAGUGAAGUGCGUAGAUGUCAGAAGGAACAUCAGUGGCGAAGGCGGCUUCCUGGACCAAUACUGACGAUCAGGUGCGAAAGCGUGGGGAGCAAACAGG
rnacentral:rRNA from 1 species